GAUGAAGAACGUAGCGAAAUGCGAUAAGUAAUGUGAAUUGCAGAAUUCAGUGAAUCUUCGAAUCUUUGAACGCACAUUGCGCCCAUUAGCAUUCUAGUGGGCAUGCCUGUUCGAGCGUCAUUUCAACCCUUAAGCCCUGUUGCUUAGCGUUGGGAGCCUACAGUACUGUAGCUCCCCAAAGUUAGUGGCGGAGUCGGUUUCACACUCUAGACGUAGUAAUUUUUUCUCGUCUGUAGUUGAGCCGGUCCCCUGCCGUAAAACACCCAAUUUAUCAAGGUUGACCUCGGAUCAGGUAGGAAUACCCGCUGAACUUAAGCAUAUCAAUAAGCGGAGGA
rnacentral:misc_RNA from 1 species